rnacentral:rRNA from 1 species
AUAUUGGACAAUGGGCGCAAGCCUGAUCCAGCAAUGCCGCGUGUGUGAAGAAGGCCUGCGGGUUGUAAAGCACUUUCGGUCGGGAAGAACGUGCUUGAGGCUAAUACCCUUAAGCGGUGACGGUACCGACAGAAGCAGCACCGGCUAACUCCGUGCCAGCAGCCGCGGUAAUACGGAGGGUGCAAGCGUUAAUCGGAAUUACUGGGCGUAAAGCGCACGUAGGUGGUUUGGUAAGUCGGAUGUGAAAUCCCCGGGCUUAACCUGGGAAUGGCAUUCGAGACUGUCAAGCUAGAGUCUGGUAGAGGGUGGUGGAAUUCCAGGUGUAGCGGUGAAAUGCGUAGAUAUCUGGAGGAACAUCAGUGGCGAAGGCGGCCACCUAGACUGAGACUGACACUGAGGUGCGAAAGCGUGGGUAGCAAACAGG